CCUACGGGGUGCAGCAGUGGGGAAUAUUGGGCAAUGGAGGCAACUCUGACCCAGCAAUGCCGCGUGAGUGAUGAAGGUAAUUUUAUUGUAAAGCUCUUUUCUUUGGAACGAAUAAAUGACGGUACCAAAGGAAUAAGCCCCGGCUAACUACGUGCCAGCAGCCGCGGUAAUACGGAGGAUGCGAGCGUUAUCCGGAUUUAUUGGGUUUAAAGGGUGCGUAGGCGGAAGGUUAAGUCAGCGGUCAAAUGUCGGUGCUCAACACCGGCCUGCCGUUGAAACUGGUCUUCUUGAGUGAGCGAGAAGUAUGCGGAAUGCGUGGUGUAGCGGUGAAAUGCAUAGAUAUCACGCAGAACUCCGAUUGCGAAGGCAGCAUACCGGCGCUCAACUGACGCUGAGGCACGAAAGCGUGGGGAUCGAACAGGAUUAGAUACCCCAGUAGUC
rnacentral:rRNA from 1 species